UACGUAGGGGGCAAGCGUUGUCCGGAAUCAUUGGGCGUAAAGCGCGUGUAGGCGGCCCGGUAAGUCCGCUGUGAAAGUCGGGGGCUCAACCCUCGAAAGCCGGUGGAUACUGUCGGGCUCGAGUGCGGAAGAGGCGAGUGGAAUUCCUGGUGUAGCGGUGAAAUGCGCAGAUAUCAGGAAGAACACCCGUGGCUAAGGCGGUUCUCUAGUACGGUACUGACGCUGAGACGCGAAAGCGUGGGGAGCGAACAGG
rnacentral:rRNA from 1 species